rnacentral:rRNA from 1 species
UUGAAAGGGAAACGAUUGAAGUCAGUCGUACCGACGGGAAUUCAACUUUUUAAGUGCUUGUCGUGGGUGACGUGAGCUUCGCGGCUUCGUUGCUUGCGUUAUGGUGCUUUUAGGGUGUACUUUUCCGUGUGGUAGGUCAAUAUCGAUUUUGAUCGUCAUAAAAUGAUCGGAGGAAUGUGGCUUCGAUCUCGUAUCGGAGUGUUAUAGCCUCUGGUAGAUGUGACGAUUGGGAUCGAGGAUGCAACGAAUACCCUUUGGGCUAUCGUCUGACCUCUGAAAGUCGCUCGGGUGUCGAAAGCGUGCUUAUGACAUCUAGUUGGCGGUCAAAAGGUUAGAACGCGAUUACAUUCGUUAAGGAUGUUGACGUA